GACGAACGCUGGCGGCGUGCUUAACACAUGCAAGUCGAGCGGUAAGGCCCUUUCGGGGGUACACGAGCGGCGAACGGGUGAGUAACACGUGGGUGACCUGCCCUCAGCUCUGGGAUAAGCCUGGGAAACCGGGUCUAAUACUGGAUAUGACUCCAUGACGCAUGUUGUGGGGUGGAAAGCCUUGUGCGGCUGAGGAUGGGCCCGCGGCCUAUCAGCUUGUUGGUGGGGUGANGGCCUA
rnacentral:rRNA from 1 species